UUGGUCAACCGGCACAGCGCCCCGCCCACAUCACUCACCCUCUCGGCUGCCCUGGUUGGAUCGAGCACCGCUGGAGCAGCGCUGCGUGCUGGAACGUGCUCUGCAGUAGCUGCUCUCCCAGAACAGCAAUGGCAGAACUCAGCUCCAUGAUCCAAAGCUAUGACAGCACUCUGACAACAGGAGACCAAC